GAACCUGGGAGGUGGAGGUUGCAGUGAGCUGAAAUCAUGCCACUGCACUCUAGCCUGGGUGACACAGCAAGAUUCCAUCCGCCCCCCCCCCAAAAAAAAAAAAAAAAAAAAAGAGGUAUAACUUCUAGAUGGUAUGAAAUAGAAGGCAGGGGUGAGAAAAAUUAUCCAGGUAAAAUUUAUGUAACUUAAACUUUGGAGAGCCUUUUGAAAG
rnacentral:lncRNA from 1 species